AGGAGCUGAAAAGUCCCAUAAUAGGACGAAACGGCCGUCCAGUGU
rnacentral:hammerhead_ribozyme from 1 species